GGCUUGGUAGCGGACGGUCCGGAUCUGCUUUCUUUGUCUGGGAGUUCAGUUAUACCAUACUGCAGAAGUUGCCUGUUCGACUCAGGCCCGAGCCA